rnacentral:rRNA from 1 species
GUGGGGAAUAUUGGACAAUGGGGGGAACCCUGAUCCAGCCAUGCCGCGUGUGUGAAGAAGGCCUUUUGGUUGUAAAGCACUUUAAGCGAGGAGGAGGCUACCGAGAUUAAUACUCUUGGAUAGUGGACGUUACUCGCAGAAUAAGCACCGGCUAACUCUGUGCCAGCAGCCGCGGUAAUACAGAGGGUGCAAGCGUUAAUCGGAUUUACUGGGCGUAAAGCGCGCGUAGGUGGCCAAUUAAGUCAAAUGUGAAAUCACCGAGCUUAACUUGGGAAUUGCAUUCGAUACUGGUUGGCUAGAGUAUGGGAGAGGAUGGUAGAAUUCCAGGUGUAGCGGUGAAAUGCGUAGAGAUCUGGAGGAAUACCGAUGGCGAAGGCAGCCAUCUGGCCUAAUACUGACACUGAGGUGCGAAAGCAUGGGGAGCAAACAGGAUUAGAACCCCUGUAGUCC